AUGCACUUUCUUCCCCGUCUUCCACUCUUCUUCCUCCUCUCUUCUUCUUCCUCCUCUCUUCCCCAUCGUCGGCCGCACACCAUUUACCCCCGCUCACUGCUCACCUGCCCGCGCCAUAUUCCUUGUUUGAAGCACUCCUCUAGUUUGAAGGAUAUAUACCUUCCUGGGAUCAAGUGCAUCCUAACUCACCUGCGCGUCAAGUUCGAUCCCACGGAUCAGGAGCUGAUCGAGCACCUUGAGGCCAAAGUGAGUGCUGACAACGUGAGAUUUCAGUCUCUCAUCGAUUUGUUCAUACCAACCAUCGACAGCGAGCACGGCAUAUGCUACACCCAACCUAAGAAACUUCCAGGUAUCACACUGAGUGGCCUAAGGAAGCAUUUCUUCCAGCGCAAUUCCAGGGCGUUCAAAAGGGGCACGUGGACGUGUCGCAAGAUACAGUCGGAGUGCGGCAUGCACGCGAUGUGGCACAAGACCGGCAAUACCUUGCCGGUGAUGGUCAACGGCCGGUAG
rnacentral:rRNA from 1 species